rnacentral:rRNA from 1 species
AGUGAACGCUGGCGGUGGGCCUAACACAUGCAAGUCGAACGGCAGCACAGUAAGAGCUUGCUCUUACGGGUGGCGAGUGGCGGACGGGUGAGGAGUACAUCGGAAUCUACUUUUUCGUGGGGGAUAACGUAGGGAAACUUACGCUAAUACCGCAUACGACCUACGGGUGAAAGCAGGGGAUCUUCGGACCUUGCGCGAUUGAAUGAGCCGAUGUCGGAUUAGCUAGUUGGCGGGGUAAAGGCCCACCAAGGCGACGAUCCGUAGCUGGUCUGAGAGGAUGAUCAGCCACACUGGAACUGAGACACGGUCCAGACUCCUACGGGAGGCAGCAGUGGGGAAUAUUGGACAAUGGGCGCAAGCCUGAUCCAGCCAUACCGCGUGGGUGAAGAAGGCCUUCGGGUUGUAAAGCCCUUUUGUUGGGAAAGAAAAGCAGCAGGUUAAUACCCCGCUGUUCUGACGGUACCCAAAGAAUAAGCACCGGCUAACUUCGUG